CCAUAGCAACCGGCUGUGAUGGAGGCUGAGCCACUGCCUUUGGUUAAGGGGUGCUAGGUGGAAGGACAAAAGGACAGGGCAAGCUGGAGAUGGCCUCCUCACCUUCCUCUUCCUCACAGCAGCUGCUGCUGCCUGGAAAGGAUCAGAUGUGCUCAUGGCCUGCAUCGAACCUGAUCAGCUGGAUGUGGGAUUGGCACGGGCCACGUGCAAAGGGAAAAAUCCCAGCCACCAUCUGACACCUGCCUUCGUCCCAAGGUGAGAUGUCCAGCGUCUCAGAGGGCAACCAGGGACUUCGAGAAGAAACUUUCCUUCUUCCCUCCUCCCUUCCGUCUCCCCUCUCUCUUGCUCAUUUUUCAAGUGUUCAGUACAUGCCGGGCAACUGUUGUAGGUAGUGAGGAAUAUGGCACUGAGCAAAAUCAAUAAAAAAUAGA